UUGAACGCUCGCGGCAUGCUUUACACAUGCAAGUCGAACGGCAGCGGGGAGGAGCUUGCUUCUCUGCCGGCGAGUGGCGAACGGGUGAGUAAUACAUCGGAACGUGUCGAGAAGAGGGGGAUAACCACCCGAAAGGGUGGCUAAUACCGCAUAAAUUCUGAGGAAGAAAGCUGGGGACCUAGGAAUAGGCCUAGCGCUUUUUGAGCGGCCGAUGUCGGAUUAGCUAGUUGGUGAGGUAAAGGCUCACCAAGGCGAAGAUCUGUAGCGGGUCUGAGAGGAUGAUCCGCCACACUGGGACUGAGACACGGCCCAGACUCCUACGGGAGGCAGCAGUGGGGAAUUUUGGACAAUGGGGGCAACCCUGAUCCAGCCAUGCCGCGUGUAUGAAGAAGGCCUUAGGGUUGUAAAGUACUUUUGUUAGGGAAGAAAAGUCAGCUGUGAAUAAUGGCUGAUACUGACGGUACCUAAAGAAUAAGCACCGGCUAACUACGUG
rnacentral:rRNA from 1 species